AUUGAACGCUGGCGGAAUGCUUUACACAUGCAAGUCGAACGGUAGAGGGGGCAACCCCUCGAGAGUGGCGAACGGGUGAGUAAUAUAUCGGGACGUGCCCAGUCGUGGGGGAUAACGUAGCGAAAGUUACGCUAAUACCGCAUACGAUCCAAGGAUGAAAGCGGGGGAUCGCAAGACCUCGCGCAAUUGGAGCGGCCGAUAUCAGACUAGGUAGUUGGUGGGGUAAAGGCUCACCAAGCCAACGAUCUGUAGCUGGUCUGAGAGGACGACCAGCCACACUGGAACUGAGACACGGUCCAGACUCCUACGGGAGGCAGCAGUGGGGAAUUUUGGACAAUGGACGCAAGUCUGAUCCAGCCAUUCCGCGUGCAGGAUGAAGGCCCUCGGGUUGUAAACUGCUUUUGUACGGAACGAAAAGGUCUCUCUUAAUACGGGGGACUCAUGACGGUACCGUAAGAAUAAGCACCGGCUAACUACGUGCCAGCCGCCGCGGUAA
rnacentral:rRNA from 1 species